ACGGAGGGUGCAAGCGUUAAUCGGAAUUACUGGGCGUAAAGCGCACGUAGGCGGUUAGGUAAGUCAGAUGUGAAAGCCCCGGGCUCAACCUGGGAACUGCAUUUGAUACUGCUUGACUAGAGUAUAGUAGAGGCAAGUGGAAUUCCAGGUGUAGCGGUGAAAUGCGUAGAUAUCUGGAGGAACAUCAGUGGCGAAGGCGACUUGCUGGACUAAUACUGACGCUGAGGUGCGAAAGCGUGGGGAGCAAACAGG
rnacentral:rRNA from 1 species